rnacentral:rRNA from 1 species
GAUCCUUGCUCAGGAUGAACGCUAGCUACAGGCUUAACACAUGCAAGUCGAGGGGAAACGGAUAUUGGAAGCUUGCUUCCGAUAGGCGUCGACCGGCGCACGGGUGAGUAACGCGUAUCCAACCUGCCCACCACUUGGGGGAUAACCUUGCGAAAGUAAGACUAAUACCCAAUGAUAUCUCUAGAAGACAUCUGAAAGAGAUUAAAGAUUUAUCGGUGAUGGAUGGGGAUGCGUCUGAUUAG